CCUACGGGAGGCAGCAGUGGGGAAUAUUGCGCAAUGGGCGAAAGCCUGAUGCAGCGACGCCGCGUGAGGGAUGAAGGUCUUCGGAUCGUAAACCUCUGUCAGCAGGGAAGAACGGUCACUGUGCUAAUCAGCAGUGAAUUGACGGUACCUGCAAAGGAAGCACCGGCUAACUCCGUGCCAGCAGCCGCGGUAAUACGGAGGGUGCGAGCGUUAAUCGGAAUUACUGGGCGUAAAGCGCUCGUAGACGGUGUGUCAAGUCAGGGGUGAAAUCCCCGCGCUCAACGUGGGAACUGCUUUUGAAACUGGCAAACUGGAGUGUGUGAGAGGAUAGUGGAAUUCCAGGUGUAGGAGUGAAAUGCGUAGAUAUCUGGAGGAACAUCAGUGGCGAAGGCGACUAUCUGGCACAUAACUGACGCUGAGGAGCGAAAGCGUGGGGAGCAAACAGGAUUAGAUACCCCAGUAGUC
rnacentral:rRNA from 1 species